rnacentral:misc_RNA from 1 species
CUUGCAAGUUAUCAUUUACCCAACCGGUGAAAAUUUUGAUUAAAAAUUAACAUACAUCUGAACAAACAAAGGGAAAAGAAAAUGGCAGAACCAUCCAAAAAUCAAGUAUUGUCUAUGCAAAAGAGCAGUGGUAAAGUAUAAUUAAGCUGACACUAAUGGCUGUCCAGAUCAAAGGUUGCUGCUUUGGUAUAUUUAGUUUCUUCCUAUCAAAGUUACAUGUAACUCCUUAUUUGGCAAAAGAGAUUUAGCAUGGAGUUACCUUUCGGCCAAUAAACAACUUUGCCUCAUAACUUUGCCAGCGUCAGAUUCCACUACCAUAUCCUGACGUGAUCUCAGAAAAGAUCUAUAAUCACUUCUUCUACCUUGUUUUCUACAUGUUAUACACAAAAUCAAAAAUAGGUACUUGCUGUGUCUCGCAUAUCAUCUCUGUUCUUCCUCUCAGAACUCCUUCCUGUCAUUGUGGGAGUAAAAGAGAGAGAUGGCAACUGAGAAAGCCAACGAUCAGGUCUUGCACACCCACAAUGACAGCAACCAACAGAACUCUACAGAAUCAUCAGCUAACAGCAAGGGAUUUGCAAAAGCACUUGCACAGAGGGCACUCUACAGUUCAAGCAGCAGCCGUCCUGGAAGCAGAAAGGUCAGAAACAAUGAUGUAAAAACAUUACCUAGCAGGCUAAACAAGGUUUCAUUAGCUGAUGAAGCAGAAAAUUAGGGAAAUACUAUUCCUUAUUGCAUGUAUAAUGGUUUGAGCUAAAUAUCAUGUUAUGUUUACUGAAACAUUGUAUAAUUCAAGACUUCCUGUUAUGUAUUCAUGACAUUCAGUUAUGUCUCUUCUUGAAAUAAGGUAAUUCAACUAGCAACAAAUUAAGCCCCGUGUAGAACACUAACCUGAAUAGAUAUCAACAAACAAGCAACAAAAAUAGUUUUCAUGACCCAAAAUUUAUCUAGCAGAAUCUAGGACUGAGGUUAGAAAACCAAUUUCUCAUGGUCGUGGAUGUUGCUAAAAACUGUGGUACACCAUUCAGGAACAUUAAAAUAUGCCUUUUUAACGACUCCCAUAUAAGCUUGACAACCACAUUGAGAUGAUUUUCGAUUAUUUUUGCAUCUUUCCUUCAUCAGAAGCCUUUAUCUGCGGAUAGCCACCAUGGUGGCAUGAGAAAUCCCUUACUGUGAUUCCCCUGCCUACUCCAUCUUUCCCUCGGGUACAACGACGCCUGAUUGAAAAACCAUAUUGCUUUGCAAAGCUGCAAUAGAUCUAAUUUCAGCGUCUUGGGAAACAAACCUCUGUCCAAUAAAUGGGACAAGGUUAACAGAAGUUUGCCGGGACAAAAUUGUAUCCUUUACCAUUUCAUCUACAGUGUCAAUAUCAUCAGCACAUGAAUCCAUGACACUUUCAGAUGCUUCUUUCACUAAAUCUGUUGAUUUGGACAUUACUUCCAAUGUAUAUAAACGAUACUGCAGACAUAGCCUUGCAUAGAAUUUUUGAAAAUUUGAAGAUAAAAAUACUUGUACUGCAAAUGAAAACAAAUAGGAGAUCCAAUCGCGGCUCAAUAUCUAUCUAACUCAUCCAAUCCAAUGUGAACAAAAUGUAAAAUUUCAAACUACAAACCUAGAAAAGAAAAUUCCUACGUGAAAUCACCGUAAUCUUAUCAUCAAGCUGAAAUGUGUCAAAUUUUACUUUCGCGUGAUAUAGAAAGAAUCGACAAACAUAAUCGAUUUGCCGAGAAAAUGAAAGUGGACAAGAAAAUCACAUACCGAGAAUCAAAAUAUUUGAAUUUUGGACAAAAUUUACAGAUUUUGAACGGGCGGGAGGUUCAAGCUCGGUGAGCAAGAACCUCAUCCAUGGCCGACAACAGCUUAAGUGGCGAGGAUAAGUUAUCGGGCGUGAUACGGAGGCACGAGGUUAUGGAGCGCUGCAUUAGUCUAUUGUCGGCCAUUAGAUUAUAUUAAUGUUCCUGGAUGGAAGCAUUUGGCGGGCUAAUGUGUUAUGACCGUCCGAUUGAGGUAGUUUUUGGAUCAGCCGGCUCGCAUGAGAAGCGCUUGGCAUAAACCAACCGGCGUUGGACAAACCGCAGUCCUCCCUUCUACCGAGCACAAGGACUUUCGCCGAAGCAGCUAACUUACGCCGU